CCUACGGGAGGCAGCAGUGAGGAAUAUUGGUCAAUGGACGAGAGUCUGAACCAGCCAAGUAGCGUGAAGGAUGACUGCCCUAUGGGUUGUAAACUUCUUUUAUAAAGGAAUAAAACGAGGCACGUGUGCCUUUUUGCAUGUACUUUAUGAAUAAGGAUCGGCUAACCCCGUGCCAGCAGCCGCGGUAAUACGGAGGAUCCGAGCGUUAUCCGGAUUUAGUGGGUUUAAAGGGAGCGUAGAUGGGUUGUUAAGUCAGUUGUGAAAGUUUGCGGCUCAACCGUAAAAUUGCAAUUGAUACUGGCAGUCUUGAUUACAGUUGAGGUAGGCGGAAUUCGUGGUGUAGCGGUGAAAUGCUUAGAUAUCACGAAGAACCCCGAUUGCGAAGGCAGCUUACUAAACUGUGACUGACAUUGAUGCUCGAAAGUGUGGGUAUCAAACAGGAUUAGAUACCCGGGUAGUC
rnacentral:rRNA from 1 species